AUCUAUGAAAAAUUGUAAUGUCAGUGCUUGUAUACACCUCUGUAACAGUUCACUUGAAAAUAAUCAUAAACCCCUAACAAACAAAUCCUGCCUGCUUGAUACUUGUAAUGUGAAACUGGGGCUAUCUUUACUGGCUUGCUGGAAUGUGUAUAAUCUCUUCUGAUUGGUUGGGAGCCAAAUUUGAACAUGUAAACAUAGAUCCAUGCAAGACCUGAAAUGUAGUUUCAAAGCAAUGUUGGGACUUUUUAAAGUUGAAGUUUUAACAAUAUCCUGAAAUACUUUGAUGGACAUUCAUAAACAAUUAACUAGAAUGUGGAAAUCAACAUUUUGUGUAUUAACAAGUCUCUAAAAGAGGAAUUCAGUGAGUUAUGAAGCGGCCCUUUUGGAAAUGCUUUGAACUGUUAAACAGCGAUUUUCAAAAAAGAUUGUGUAGCAACUUACCCCUGACAACGACCUCAGAAGUGCAGUCACAGAGUAAUGGUGCUGUUAUCACUUAAAAGCAACUAUCAAAAAAGAUUGUGUAGCAACUUUCCCCUGACAACGACCACUGGCUCAGUUAAGUGCAGUCACAGAGUGAUGGUACCUCACCAGGGUCUAGUUCAGGCAAAUGAAGAAAAAGGGAUUUUCAUCUCAAUAUAAUAACUGUAAUUUCUUAAAACAUAAACUUACUUUAUUUACUGUGCUUUUAUGUCAUAUAACAGUGAUACAAUAAUGUGUGUUGUAUUUAGGGAUUUAUUUCUUAACGGGAUGUGUAAGAGUAAAUUAUUUUAUUUUAUUGACUGUCAGUAUUUGUUACUUUUCUUAUAUAUAUAUAAACAUGUCAUAAUAUCAUUAAAUAAAAAUGUUUAAUAUUUACAGUCUAUAUAUUUUGCUUUACAUUUUGCUACAUUUUUCUGUACAGAAUUUUUUGUGUGUACAGAUUUUAUUUUGUGUACAGAUUUUAUUUUGCACAGAAUCCCAUUCUCACAUUUUGGUUCACCCCACAUUUAAUUCUGCCCAGGUUUUUUUCUGCCCCUAAAAAAUUCUGCUUAAUUUAAAUAAUUCGUAAAAUCUGUACAGAAUUCGUUCUUUGUUUAUAUUGAAAAAAUCUAUAAAUAGAAAUCUGCUUCAACUCAUUUUUAAUGGACACCAAAUAUUUUCUGCACAGGUUCUAUACAGAUUUUGUGUAUUUUAUUCUGCACAUAAUCUGGUUACAGUCAGCCCAAACUUUUUCGU